rnacentral:lncRNA from 1 species
CUUCGGUCUCUGCUCCCGGGACCCGGGCUCCGCCGCAGCCAGCCAGCAUGUCGGGGAUCAAGAAGCAAAAGACGAUGGAGUCUUGCUCUGUCACCCAGGCUCAAGUGCUGUUGGCGUGAUCUUGGCUCAUUGCAACCUCCACCUCCCAAGUUCAAGCGAUUCUCACGCCUCGGCCUCCCUAGUAGCUGGGGUUACAGGUGUGCACCACCACACCCGGCUAAUUUUUGUAUUUUUAGUUGAGACGGGUUUUCACCAUGUUGGCCAGACUGGUCUUGAACUCCUGACCUCAAGUGAUCUGUCUGCCUUGGCCUCCCAGAGUGCUGGGAUUACAGGCAUGAGCCACCAUGCUCAUCCUGUUGUUUUAAAUUUGAUUAUUUUAUGUUAUUACUAGCAUUUAUAGUUAUUUUCAGUGGAAGCAUCAAUCUGAAUAACCUACCCAUCACUGCUGGAAACAGAGACCUCUACCCUUUCUAGAUUCCUGUGAAUCAUUAACAUCUCCUAUCAUACCUUACCAGACCUGUGUCGCUGUCAUAAAAGGAGUACUUUUUAAACAUGAACUCUAGUCAGAUAGCUAGUCAAAAAUCUUUGAUUUAAUCCUUUUUCCCUAGGAUGUGCUACAGUGUGGAGUGGGGAGUGCUCACCUUGUCUUGGUGGUCUCUUCCUAUGCAGACAUCCUUAGAGAUGUGCAUUGUCCUGUCCAAUCCUUAGUGUUGGUCCAAUUUCAAGUGCGUUCUUGUCUGAAAGGCCCCUUCAAUUUAAACAACUCUCCUUACUUCUUUCAUGCUCUCCUGGGUACCCUGAGGCCGUUUUGUUGCUCCAGCACAACUCUGAGGUCGUGGGGUAUGAAUUUGGUGGGACUAGUUAAGGUCCUUGACAUGUCCCCACUACUCCCAGGAGUGUAGGAACUAGGUUCCUACUUUGCUGUGACCAUGCAGGGACUUGGAGGAGCUCUGGGGGCUGCUGAAACCCACCCUCUUUUCCUCUGAGAUCAGAAGCACAUCCAAUGCCCUCUGCUUUCAGAGCCCCCAGGGCUAUUUGGCCUCCCUCUUCCCCAAGCUCAGCACCAGGGGCAGGACACUACUCCCUGUUUCAGACUCAGACUGGUACCCAAGCUUGCUUUGCUUCUCUUUUAAUAAAGAUUAAAGCUUUCCCAAAAGGUUAAUUGGUUUAUCAUAAGCAUUGAAUUUGUUAUAAAUUUUGUCUUCUUGUUCCUUUUUCCUGUCUUUUUGAUCACCACAUUUUUGAAAAAUUUACAAUAAAUUGGCUGGGUGUGGUGGCUCAUGCCUGUAAUCCCAGCACUUUGAGAGGCUGAGGUGGGCGGAUCACUUGAGCGCAGGAGUUUGAGACCAGCCUGGGCAACAUGGCAAAACCUUGUCUCUACAAAAAUGCAAAAAAUUAGCCAAGUGUGGUGGCGCGGGCCUGUAGUCCCAGCUAUCUAGGAGGCUGAGGUGGGAUCGCCCCAGUACUGGAGGUCAAGGCUGCAGUCAGCCAUGAUCAUGCCAUUACACUCCAGCCUGGGUGACAGAGUGAGACCCUGUCUCAAAAAACCUCAACAAAACAAACAAACAAUAAAUUGGUGCACAAGAUGAAAAUAUUUUUUCUCUGUACAAAAGAGCCACUGUAUUAAAACUUGAAAUAUAAGUUGCCUCUGAUGACACGUGGUGUAUAAAAUGGAUUCCAUCAGUUGACUGAUGUGACUUCCUUUAAAAUCUUAUCAGCAUCCCUUUCUGCAUUUCAAAUUUACUACUGAAGUUGAUUUUGCUGUAAUUGAUAUUGUGCAAGCACGACUGUAAUAUAAACAUGACAAACUCAAUCUGUAUACCAUCAAAUAUUAACUUUUGGCAAUAAAU